UACGAAGGUGGCAAGCGUUACUCGGAAUUACUAGGCGUAAAGGGCAGGUAGGCGGUCUCGUUAGUCUGUUGUGAAAGCUCCUUGCUUAACGGGGAGAGGCCAACAGAUACUGCGAGGCUUGAGUAUAGGAGAGGGUACUGGAAUUCCCGGUGUAGCGGUGAAAUGCGCAGAGAUCGGGAGGAACACCAAUGGCGAAGCAGGUACCUGGACUAGUUACUGACGCUCAGCUGCGAAAGCUAGGGAGCAA
rnacentral:rRNA from 1 species